rnacentral:lncRNA from 1 species
CUUUUUCUAAAUUCCUAUUUUGUUGCGUAAAUGUGUGAGUCGUAAAUAUAUCUUAUACAUAUGGCAUAAAUGGUAGGAACCCAAUACACACUGGAUUAAGUAAACAAGAUAAUACAUAAAAUCAAUAAAUCGUUUGCGUAAAAUGUGAAUAGAAAUAUCAUAAACAGACAAAUAGAUGGAAGCGGAGCCAUGAACUGAAAUAUAUGUCGUAAAAAUCUAUUGACAUUGGCAUAAAUAUGUAUACAAAAUAACAUAAAAAUAGGACCGCCGCCCUGCGGAACCGUCGCCUCGCAUCUAGGAUGUGCACUACCGGAAUAAAACACUCGGCAAAGAAAACUCGGCAAAGAUUUCAUCGGCAAAGGGUUCUUUGCCGAGUGCUUUUUUCGGACACUCGGAAAAGACUUUGCCGAGUGUCAAAAAGCACUCGGCAAAGAAAAACACUCGGCAAAUUAAGAAUCGAAAAAUAAAAAAAAAACAGCAAAACAUUUUUUAAAUUCUAGGAACAACUCUCCAACCCUACCCUAUUACCUUACCCGUUGCCCUAUCAUUUUUCACUAUUAUUUUGAAUCAAACUUAUAUGUUUUGUAAAUGGUGAGAUUCGAACUCGCAACCUCUCUCUCGCGCAUACCCUUCUAUACCACUACACUACUACACCAAUUAUGUUUAUAUUACGUUUCCAUUCCCCA